AGAGUUUGAUCCUGGCUCAGAUUGAACGCUGGCGGCAUGCUUUACACAUGCAAGUCGAACGGCAGCGCGGGCUUCGGCCUGGCGGCGAGUGGCGAACGGGUGAGUAAUAUAUCGGAACGUACCCAGAAGUGGGGGAUAACGUAGCGAAAGUUACGCUAAUACCGCAUACGAUCUACGGAUGAAAGUGGGGGACCGCAAGGCCUCAUGCUAUUGGAGCGGCCGAUAUCUGAUUAGCUAGUUGGUGAGGUAAUGGCUCACCAAGGCGACGAUCAGUAGCUGGUCUGAGAGGACGACCAGCCACACUGGAACUGAGACACGGUCCAGACUCCUACGGGAGGCAGCAGUGGGGAAUUUUGGACAAUGGUCGCAAGCCUGAUCCAGCAAUGCCGCGUGAGUGAAGAAGGCCUUCGGGUUGUAAAGCUCUUUUGUCAGGGAAGAAACGGCCGAGGCUAAUAUCCUCGGCUAAUGACGUAC
rnacentral:rRNA from 1 species